ACCACCGUUCAGAGUGACCAAUGAAAACCCAUGGAAGUAACCACGUAAGCACAUGCAAACAAAACAGAAACUAGUAAUAAAACUACUCAAGCCUAUACUCCCCCUAAGAGUGUGCAUAUGAAAAAGCGAAAAAAUGUUUGUUUCUGACGAAUACUCUUAGAGAAAAGGACUGCACAAACACGCUUUAAGGAAAAAGACCAUUCAAUUUGCAUCCUUGGUUUUUUGAAGACAGUUUAAGCAUAGACUCACAAGGUGACAUAUCAUAACAAACAAACAAACCUUGAUCAAACAAAAGCAAAUCACAUAGGUUGUGAUAGUGGCAAGUCCCAAUGGUCUCUAUUUUUAUUUGCAGCACUUUAGAGUGAGUGUGUAAGUGAGAUAAUAAUCACAUGGUGCUUGAUAAGCUUGAAGGCAUCAACUAAGUAUUUAUUGUCAGUGUGAGCCAUGUCAUGCAAGGAUAUCAUCUGGUCCUUCCAUCCUUAUCUCUCCAGAAUUUGAUUUUAAAGUCCAGAGGCUACUUUUAACCGUGACUUUAUUUUGGUCCAAUCAUUAAUAUCACAGCCUUAACUGAGAAAUCAUCCUCAUAGGUUCAAGUAGCAGAAAAUGUGUCAUUGCUUCACAAGAUCAGUUGACCUUGGACAAUAUGUGUAACAAGAACACUCAUAUGGACACAUCAUCUGAACCCAUCGAAUGAUAGAAUGCAUCUCAGAAAUCCCCACUACAUAACAAGAAAAGUGGAGGACUAGCUGAUUCAAGAAGUCAUUUGUGAUUGUCAAUCAAAAUUUUUUUCAACUUUGUUCUAACCAGAACGUCCUAAUUCUAAACCAAUCUCGUUUCUUCCCACCCUUAUAUCGUUCAUCACGACCAAGGAAUGUGUACUUUGAGAUUAGCCUAGAUCAUUGAGUUCUGUGAACCUCAAUCUU
rnacentral:lncRNA from 1 species